UACGUAGGGUGCGAGCGUUAAUCGGAAUUACUGGGCGUAAAGGGCGCGUAGGCGGGUUGCUAAGUUAGAGGUGAAAGCCCAGGGCUCAACCCUGGAAUUGCCUUUAAUACUGGCAGCCUUGAGUAUGGCAGAGGUGUGUGGAACUCCGAGUGUAGAGGUGAAAUUCGUAGAUAUUCGGAAGAACACCAGUGGCGAAGGCGACACACUGGGCCAUUACUGACGCUGAGGCGCGAAAGCGUGGGGAGCAAACAGG
rnacentral:rRNA from 1 species